ACCGGCGGCUCGAGUGGUGGCAACUAUUACUGGGCUUAAAGCGUUCGUAGCUGGUUUGUUAAGUCUCUGGGGAAAUCUUCCGGCUCAACCGGAAGGCGUCUCAGGGAUACUGGCAGACUAGGGACCGGAAGAGGUGAGAGGUACUUCAGGGGGACGAGUGAAAACCUGUGCUCCGUGAGGGACCACCGGUGGCGGGGGCGUCUCACCAGGUUAGCACCGACUGUGAUGAGCGAGAGCUGGGGGAGGAAGGCG
rnacentral:rRNA from 1 species